rnacentral:rRNA from 1 species
GGCGAACGGGUGAGUAACACGUGGGUGAUCUGCCCUGCACUUCGGGAUAAGCCUGGGAAACUGGGUCUAAUACCGGAUAGGAGCCAUUUUUAGUGUGAUGGUUGGAAAGUUUUUUCGAUGUAGGAUGAGCUCGCGGCCUAUCAGCUUGUUGGUGGGGUAAUGGCCUACCAAGGCGGCGACGGGUAGCCGGCCUGAGAGGGUGGACGGCCACAUUGGGACUGAGAUACGGCCCAG